rnacentral:tRNA from 1 species
GGGUGUGUAGCUCAGUGUUAGAGUGAGUACUUAGCAUGUAUGAGGCCCUGGGUUCAAUCCCCAGCACCA